rnacentral:rRNA from 1 species
UGGGGAAUUUUGGACAAUGGGCGAAAGCCUGAUCCAGCGACGCCGCGUGAGGGACGAAGCCCUUCGGGGUGUAAACCUCUGUUGUGAGGGACGAAUAAGAUCUGGAGGAAAUGCCAGAUCGAUGACGGUACCUCACGAGAAAGCCCCGGCUAACUACGUGCCAGCAGCCGCGGUAAUACGUAGGGGGCGAGCGUUACCCGGAUUCACUGGGCGUAAAGGGGGCGCAGGCGAUCCAGUAUGUCGGGUGUGAAAUCCCACAGCUCAACUGUGGAAUUGCGCCCGAAACUACUGGGUUUGGGGCUGGUAGAGGGAGACGGAACUGCUGGUGUAGGGGUGAAAUCCGUAGAUAUCAGCAGGAACGCCGGUGGGGAAGCCGGUCUCCUGGGCCAAGCCCGACGCUGAGGCCCGAAAGCUAGGGGAGCAAACCGGAUUAGAUACCCGGGUAGUCCUAGCCGUAAACGAUGCCCACUAGGUGUGGGGGAGUCAUUCCUCCGUGCUGUAGCUAACGCGUUAAGUGGGCCGCCUGGGGAGUACGCCCGCAAGGGUGAAACUCAAAGGAAUUGGCGGGACCCCGCACAAGCGGUGGAGCGUGUGGUUUAAUUGGAUGCUAAGCCAAGAACCUUACCAGGGCUUGACAUGCACGUGGUACCAACCCGAAAGGGAAGGGACCCUUUCCUUUUGGAAAGGGAGCCUGCACAGGUGAUGCACGGCCGUCCUCAGCUCGUGCCUUGAGGUGUUGGGGAUAAAUCCCUCAAUUAAGCGCAUCCCCUGACCUUCAUCUGCCAAGAGAUUACUGCCGAGCAACUCUUAAAUGAGAACGGCCCGCCCAUUAAGGCCGAUCAAAACCCAGGGAAAAAACAACGCGCCAACACAUGUACCACCUAAAACGUUGUG